GAGAGCGGCGUACGGGUGCGUAACACGUGUGCAACCUACCUUUAUCUGGGGGAUAGCCUUUCGAAAGGAAGAUUAAUACCCCAUAAUAUAUUGAAUGGCAUCAUUUAAUAUUGAAAACUCCGGUGGAUAGAGAUGGGCACGCGCAAGAUUAGAUAGUUGGUGAGGUAACGGCUCACCAAGUCUGUGAUCUUUAGGGGUCCUGAGAGGGAGAUCCCCCACACUGGUACUGAGACACGGACCAGACUCCUACGGGAGGCAGCAGUGAGGAAUAUUGGACAAUGGGUGAAAGCCUGAUCCAGCCAUCCCGCGUGAAGGAUGACGGUCCUAUGGAUUGUAAACUUCUUUUGUACAGGGAUAAACCUACCCUCGUGAGGGUAGCUGAAGGUACUGUACGAAUAAGCACCGGCUAACUCCGUGCCAGCAGCCGCGGUAAUACGGAGGGUGCAAGCGUUAUCCGGAUUUAUUGGGUUUAAAGGGUCCGUAGGCGGACCUGUAAGUCAGUGGUGAAAUCUCAUAGCUUAACUAUGAAACUGCCAUUGAUACUGCAGGUCUUGAGUAAAUUUGAAGUGGCUGGAAUAAGUAGUGUAGCGGUGAAAUGCAUAGAUAUUACUUAGAACACCAAUUGCGAAGGCAGGUCACUAAGAUUUAACUGACGCUGAUGGACGAAAGCGUGGGUAGCGAACAGGAUUAGAUACCCUGGUAGUCCACGCCGUAAACGAUGCUAACUCGUUUUUGGAUUUUCGGAUUCAGAGACCAAGCGAAAGUGAUAAGUUAGCCACCUGGGGAGUACGUCCGCAAGGAUGAAACUCAAAGGAAUUGACGGGGGCCCGCACAAGCGGUGGAUUAUGUGGUUUAAUUCGAUGAUACGCGAGGAACCUUACCAAGACUUAAAUGGGAAUUGACAGGUUUAGAAAUAGACCCUUCUUCGGACA
rnacentral:rRNA from 1 species